CGGGAUAUAGAGGUGCAGUCGGCGUUCUAACUAUCCCACUGGCCCUCUACGUCUUGGA
rnacentral:pre_miRNA from 1 species